AGAGUUUGAUCCUGGCUCAGAGCGAACGCUGGCGGCAGGCUUAACACAUGCAAGUCGAGCGGGCGUAGCAAUACGUCAGCGGCAGACGGGUGAGUAACACGUGGGAACGUACCUUUUGGUUCGGAACAACACAGGGAAACUUGUGCUAAUACCGGAUAAGCCCUUACGGGGAAAGAUUUAUCGCCGAAAAAUCGGCCCGCGUCUGAUUAGCUAGUUGGUGAGGUAACGGCUCACCAAGGCGACGAUCAGUAGCUGGUCUGAGAGGAUGAUCAGCCACACUGGGACUGAGACACGGCCCAGACUCCUACGGGAGGCAGCAGUGGGGAAUAUUGGACAAUGGGCGCAAGCCUGAUCCAGCCAUGCCGCGUGAGUGAUGAAGGCCCUAGGGUUGUAAAGCUCUUUUGUGCGGGAAGAUAAUGACGGUACCGCAAGAAUAAGCCC
rnacentral:rRNA from 1 species